UACGUAGGGGGCGAGCGUUGUCCGGAGUUACUGGGCGUAAAGCGCACGCAGGCGGUCUGCUAAGUUUGGAGUGACAGUUGGUGGCUUAACUGCCAAAGUGCUUCGAAAACUGACAGACUUGAGGGCUUCAGAGGGACACGGAAUUCCGGGUGGAGUGGUGAAAUGCGUAGAGAUCCGUAGGAACACCAAAGGCGAAGGCAGUGUCCUGGGGAGUACCUGACGCUCAGGUGCGAAAGCCAGGGGAGCGAACGGG
rnacentral:rRNA from 1 species